UUUCCAUUUCUUGGAGUUCAUUUUGAUUACUAUUUAUUAUGAUCAUAUACACAUAGCUACUGAGUCUUUGUGAUUCUCUCUCACUAAGAAAAUCCUUUGUUCU